CAGCAGCCGCGGGAAUACGUAGGGUGCGAGCGUUAAUCGGAAUUACUGGGCGUAAAGCGUGCGCAGGCGGUUGUGUAAGACAGGUGUGAAAUCCCCGGGCUUAACCUGGGAACUGCGCUUGUGACUGCACAGCUAGAGUAUGGCAGAGGGGGGUGGAAUUCCACGUGUAGCAGUGAAAUGCGUAGAGAUGUGGAGGAACACCGAUGGCGAAGGCAGCCCCCUGGGCCAAUACUGACGCUCAUGCACGAAAGCGUGGAGAGCAAACAGGAUUAGAUACCCGUGUAGUCCCUGUCUCUUAUAC
rnacentral:rRNA from 1 species